CACAGGCUAAGAGAGCUGUACUACCUCACCCUAAAUGACUGGGUCUGGGGCCACUGCACAGAGACUCAUCCAGGGGAGCGGUGCAAUGGCCAGUCGAGCAGUGGACCAGAACAGGAGUGUGGUGACUAAAGAGGGACAAGAGUAGCAAAGAGGAUUAUGAGCAGUGCAAUACAAAACAAGGCUGCAACAAAAGAUGAAGAAAUACUUCAGUGCAUGCCGUGUGCAGCCUAGAAGUUACAUAUGCAAUUGUAGAUGAAGCUAACUGACCAGGCGACACCAGGAGGAGCACGAGGACCAAGAGAACUAAGUGGGCAAGAUGCCCAGGCAGUGGACAGAAAACAGAGAACAACAACAUCCAAAGAGCCACCUGGAGAACAGAUGGGGACCGGGGACCAGAAUGCUCUUCCUAAAUCAAAUAGAAAACAGGAAGGCUGUCCAAAGAUUUGGGGGGCCAGGAGAGUGAGCAAUACAGAAGGGAUUGUGACCACCAAGCUCCCUUUCUAGAGAAUGUGUCCAAAGCAGGUCCAGGCAGACUGGGGGUGGGAGAGGAGAAUUCACAUUAAAUAUUUAUAAUGUGCACAAUGAGUUCUAGUGGGAAAUCUCAGAAGAUGCCACCAUUUCCAACUUUAAAAUACCCUUCUUCUUCAAUGUCUGUGUGUGUUUUUAGGAAUCC
rnacentral:lncRNA from 1 species